ensembl:snRNA U6 U6 spliceosomal RNA
GUGCUUGCUUCAGCUGCACAUAUUCUAAAAUUGGAAUGAUACAGAGAAGAUUAGCAUGGCACUUUGCAAGGAUGAUGCACAAAUUUGUGAAGCGUUCCAUAUUUUU